rnacentral:lncRNA from 1 species
CUUAGGACAGUUAAUAGGUGAUUUUUUUAAAUGUAUAGUUAUAGCUAUCGCACAUCAUUUUUACAAAGUCGUGCAUUAACUAAUGGAGCAGAAGCACCACCUAUUAAGAUUCAAAUUCAGAAACAUAAUCUAAUACUACAAACUUUCCUUCACAAUAUGCUUCAUUAUUUUACAUUCAAUGUUCGUAUCAUAUGAAGCCAUGAAUCUAUAUAACUUGAAAGCAACUUAUCCAAUCACGAACACACUCACAAAACAAAUCCAACUAGUUUUUAUUCUUUUUUUAUUUCCCGCCAGUCAGCUGAAAAAAAUAAAAGAAUCUCUAGUUCAGUUUUCCACAUAAUUAAAACAAGAAGAAACUCUCAAGCCGCCUUAACUUACACAGCGGGCCCCAUGCCUGGCGCUGGGAGGAAUGGCGAGGCUGUCCUGUCCCUAGGGCAGAGGGCUUGCGGGGCUGAGCACCUGAGCACAAGUACUUCGUGGUCAAGAGUGUUCCACAUUGCUGACAUUCAGCUCAGCCUCAGAAGCACCCUUGACAACUACCGAUGGCCACAGCCAAAUGGUUACCUGUAAAGUGGCCACUGCACCGUUUUCAGACAUGCCUGAACGAACUGCACACAGUGGGCCUGCAGAGCUGCGCCUUCCAGCCCCCUGCCUCGCCUGGCCGACCACUCCCGCUCUACACUUCGGAAGCAGGACAACACGAUUGCUGGACCCUGAAGACAUCUUAGCUGGUGACCUACAAACAUCUGCUUGCAGGAUCUUCUUGGAGCAAGCCUUAGACAUCCAGGAAGUAGCAGGAGCCCCAAGGUUCAGUUUCUCAAGAGCACCAAGAAAUGGCCAAUGCUUUAGUUAAGAAUGUGCACCAGCCUGCAGUUCUUCACUGAGGUAUUUUGUCACAGUGACAGAAAGCUGAGCAUCACAAACACAAGGAAGAAGGUCAUGGUAAAUGCAAGCAGAGACUGGAGUGAAGCAGCUAUAAGCCAUGAAUGCUGGGGAGCGUUGGAGCCACCAGAAGCUAUGAAGAGCCAAGGAAGGCUUACUUCUUCCUAGAGUUUUUACCUGGAGUAUAGCCCUACUGCUACCUUGAUUUCAGACUUUUAGCCACCAAAUAAGUGAUGGAAUAAAUUUCUGCUGUUUUAAACCAUUUAGUUUGUGGGAAUUUGUCAUAGCAGCUCCAGGAAAUGAAUAUAUGCAAAACCACCCAUUGAUUACCUAUUGUAUUUUAGGAUUAAUAAACAAGGCUG